CUUCAACCUGACGGCGCUCGAUUAACUCACCGGCGAAGUCUUUUGGACUUCCGAUAGCUUGAAAUACACGAGUUACUGGAACCGUGGUGGCGGCAGCAGGUCGAACGCCCGCACUCCCCUUGGUGCCCUUUGACCCCAGGGACUGACCCGAGCGGCUCCGGAGGUCGCGCUCGGCAUUCUCGCUCUGCGCCUGCUCCUCGUCGUACCUGGUGACACGCGAAAGGGAGGAACGAUGCAGCGGACUGCCUUCCUUCUCCAGGUCCUUGCGGUAGCGCUUGAUGUUCUUGACCAGCAGGUCCUUCCUGGUCAGCUCGUAGUGGUUGGGGAAGUG